AUUAGCUAAACGGCUAACCCCGAUCAGUAAUGAUAGCUUGAUGUCGAGACUAGCUAGACUACAAUUUCACUAUUGUUCUCACAUAGAUGGCCAUAGAGGAAGAAACUGAGACAGCCUGAAUCCCAGAAACAAAGGAUUGUGCUGUAACUGUGCUUCCCCAAAUAAUUGAGGGGGUACCGUAGAAGACAGAGAAAGACUCCAGCGAAGAGGAGACAGAUAAGGAUGAAGAAAGGAGUAGGACGAGGUUGAGGUGUUACCAAUUGCGAUAGGGAGAGCCCAGAUGACGAGCCUAGCGAGCUGGGAGCUGUCAUUACUGCAACCCCCGAAACGCUUCCCUGCCUGGUCUAUCUUCACUGCUCUCCACAGCAUCUCCUUGAUAGUUCUGACCUUGAAGUGGAGUUGACAGCUGAGGUGAGAGUGGAAGGCUCGUCACUGCUCAGUAUCUUGUCCACUGUCACCGCUGGUAUAGGCAACAGGAAGUCAGGGUUGCUCUUUUAUCCCCGGCCCUCAGCAUCCCUCCUCCAGCCACAACCCCAGGCUCCAGGGAGUACUGACUGGACUGCAGCUUGCCCCAA
rnacentral:lncRNA from 1 species